GGAAUAUUGGACAAUGGGCGAAAGCCUGAUCCAGCCAUGCCGCGUGUGUGAAGAAGGUCUUCGGAUUGUAAAGCACUUUAAGUUGGGAGGAAGGGCAUUUACCUAAUACGUAAGUGUUUUGACGUUACCGACAGAAUAAGCACCGGCUAACUCUGUGCCAGCAGCCGCGGUAAUACAGAGGGUGCAAGCGUUAAUCGGAAUUACUGGGCGUAAAGCGCGCGUAGGUGGUUUGUUAAGUUGAAUGUGAAAUCCCCGGGCUCAACCUGGGAACUGCAUCCAAAACUGGCAAGCUAGAGUAUGGUAGAGGGUAGUGGAAUUUCCUGUGUAGCGGUGAAAUGCGUAGAUAUAGGAAGGAACACCAGUGGCGAAGGCGACUACCUGGACUGAUACUGACACUGAGGUGCGAAAGCGUGGGGAGCAAACAGGAUUAGAUACCCGAG
rnacentral:rRNA from 1 species